GAUGGUCAAUUCAUGGUGGCUGCUGAACCAGCAGAUUUCGUUCACGUGUAUAGUACACGUGCUGAUUAUGAGAAAAGACAAGAGAUUGACUUCUUUGGGGAGAUUUCGGGAGUAUCUCUGAGUCCAGACGAUGAAUCUUUGUAUAUAGGAAUAUGGGACAGAACGUAUGCAAGUUUGCUGCAAUACAACAAAAGACACACGUAUGCAUACUUAGAUUCGUACUUGUGAUAAUGUUAAACUGCGUGCUGUUGUAGUUAUGGAGCCCUCUUUUGUGUUCUGUUUUGUUUGUGUAGGGUGAUUUGAAUGAAGAUCAAAUAUUCUAUGACAGUAGAAUAAGUGUAUGUUGUGUAAGAACUUUGCUAGAAAGGUGCGUGUACAGUACAAUCUCAUCCUUUAAAUCAUAUGCUAUUUGUAUGAUUGAUUUUCUGUUCUUAAAUGUAAGUUAAUAAUAGAGUAAAAUUAACUUGCUUGGAUAUUCAGAAGCGGCUGUCUGCCGGUUUUUCACGCCCUUUCUCUUUCUCUUCCACUCCCUGCCAUUCCAUUCUUCAGUUUGCUUUGCAGAUUUUUGUGUGAUUUGACAGAUUCUGAUCUCAUGCUAAUAUAAUUAUAAUAUUUUCUGAAUUUAAUGGCUAUUUUUAAAUUAUUUUUCCAACUAUUUUAAAUUUAGAACUAUAAAUGUAAUUUUUUGAUUACUAAUUUUAUUAGCUUAAUGCGGUACUUCAGCUUGUCACUUUUUUUUAAUAUGAUAUUUGUGUUAGUUUUUGGUUCAAUGUGGUCCAAUAGUUGUAUUUAAAGGAAACAAUAUUGACUUUUUAGUUUAAUUUGAGUUUGAAUUGAUUUAAUGAAAAUUUAUAAUUAUUUUAUGAUAUUAACAAUUAAUUUUUAUCAAAACCCUAGAAUUUGAAUUAAAUUAUAUUUAAAUGAAUUGUAUUUGAUAAGUUAAGUGUAAAAUUAAACAAAUUCACAAUAACAUUAAAUUUAUUCUAUUAACAAAAUAAUAAAAAAUUUUCAAUAGAAUAAUAUUAGCAAUUAACUUUCAUUAAAUAAAAUUUAAAGCCUGAAUUAAAUACUAAAAAAUUAGCACCAUUACCUUUGGGUAAUAAUAUAUAUAUAUAUAUAUAUAUAUAUAUAUAUUCAAAUAUAGACACUAGAUUGACCAAAAAAUAAUAGAGGUACCACAUCAAAAAAAGUAUCAAAAUCAGGUACCAAACAUAUAUUAAACCAAUUUUAUUUAAUUUUGGGACUAAUUGAAUUUAAAUAUAAAAUUAUAAAUUAUCAUGAAUAUACAUUUAUGAUUAUAAAUUUAUUGAAUUAUUCAUUUACCUUUUGUAAGUAAAAUUUUAAAAUUUAACUUCUAUAAUAAGUUCACUUUGAUGAAUUAGAGCUUUAGGUUAUUCUAUUAGUUUAUUUCAUUAUUUUUUUUAUAUUUUUGUACAUUAUUUAGUUUUUAUUUGAUCCCAUUUGGUUGUGUUUUUUUUUUCUUUUCUAAUCUUCCAUAUGUUUAUGAUGUUUAACUAAUUUUUUUUUAUUUUUAAAAUUUGAGAGAUAGGGCUUUGUUAAACGUUUUUUUUUUACAAUUUUUUUAUAAUUAUUUUAUUAUCAAAUUGUUUUUUUUCCUCGGCAAAAAGCAGUUUAUUUCAUUAAUAAAUAAUUAAGAAAGAAAGACACUCACCACGGCCUGCAAAAAACCUAAAGCCCAAUAUAACAACAACAUUAAAAUGACAUUAUGUCCUUAAAUGAUUUCGUAUUUGAAUGUAUAUUUUAAAUUUAUUGAUAUAAAUUUGAUUUUUUUUCUCUGAGAACUCUUUUUUCAUAUUCUCAAUUUAUAUUUUAUAAAAUUUUAUUAUGUAAAUAAUAUUUGUAUAAGAUUCUAAAACUCUUAUACAAAAACAAUGAUUUUUAUAAUCACGAAUAAAAUUAGAUUUUGAAAUGUGUAAAUUGCUAUAUGUGGUACAUCUUUCUUUAUUUACUUUUAUCUUUGAAAUUUUAUAAAAUAAAAGUAGUUUAUAGUAAAACUUGUUUAAAUUAAAAUUCGAGAUCAUGUAGGACUAAUAAUGGGAGCAUGCACUUACUCAAUUAAAAAUGUCUUGGCCCCAGCAAUGGCAGAAGUGCAUGCAUGUCAAGAAGCAGUGCAAUUUGUAGAAGAGAUUGGUUUUCGUCGAAUCACGGUGGAAGGAGAUGCAUUGACAGUAAUAAAAAAGGUAAUAUCAAAAGACGAAGACCAAUCAGUAUUAAGCACAGUGAUUAAAACAAUUAAAACAAACGUCUAAAAAUUUGAAGAGAUAAAUUUUAGAUUCGUACUCAGAGAAGCAGAUGCCGCGGCGCGUGGAUUGGCUCAGGAAGGCAAGAGGUUUGAAACAGUCAGGUAUUGGAUAGAAGAGGCCCCGGAGAGAGUGGAAGAGUUGGUGACAGAGGACAGAAGGCGAAUGCAGAAGGGAGGAAAUGGUGGACUUAUGGAGUAAAGUUGGGAUGAAAAAGAAGUUACAAAGCCCGUGGAGUGUCAAAUCUGAAAUAGGAAAGCAAUCAGGACCAUAAGAUGAUCAUCAGAAUGGGAUGAAAGGUUGCAAGAUUUAGGUUGUCGAAAUAACCACUGAUUGAAUCGAUUGUGGGUAGAAAUAAGAACUGUUCAAUUACCUUUUUUAUGAAGACUUAGGUUUUUUGUUUGCUUUAGGAUUUUCUUAAUUAGGGUGAGCCAACCUUAUUGGGCAAUUAGGAUGAGAUGCCAUUUAUUUCUUUAUCAGAGGGUGUAAAAAAAGACAUUACUUAUUAAUAAAUUAGUGGAAAUUUCUAUUGAA
rnacentral:lncRNA from 1 species